AUUAGACUUGCAAUGGAGCUGCUGCUCCUCCUUUCUUCCCGCUUCUCUCUCUCUCUCUCUCUCUCUCACACACACACACAGUUUAAGGACGACGCGAAGGAAUUUCUGUCAUUGUCGCUUGAAAGGAGGGAUUUCCUUAAGAAACACACCUAUGAGGUCAUUCCGGACCUCUCCGGUCAGUUUGCUUGCUCCGUGGGGAACACACUGUCCUCUCAGUCAGACUGACCACCUCCCUUCUUCUCCAGAGUGGAGCACAGAGAACAAUAGAGAUACACGUCAGCUUUUUUUUUUAAGUGUCAGAGCAAAGUAUGGAAGCUGCAUUCCAAACAUUUAUAGACAUUUUGGAAAUGAGUAAUGUGUUCCCCCCCCCCCCCCCUCAAACAUAAAAACUUCUGCUAACAUUGCAGUUUGUUACUCUCCCAUGAUUUGUUGGGUGUCCUGUUCACCUGUCAAAGGGUAGCACAAGUUAACCCAGUGCACAUUCUCAUAAUAUUCAUUUGGUGGUCAAACCACCACAAGAAAUUUGGGGUCUGUCCUUCGUCCUGUCAGUGCCCUGCCCCCAAGGCCACCCACUGACUCACAGUCUACAGACACCCCCCUCCCUUGUGUUACCUAAAUUAACACACAAAAUUGCUUGUCUCAACUGCCUCCAACAGACAAAAACCAAAAUCUCUCAUCCAGUUCUACAACUCAGUACAUAAAAAAAAAAGAUCACUAUGAGUUUACACAGUUUGUCUCCUAGAGACUUGGUGCUGACGUGAAAGCUCUUGACAUCAGGAAGUCACUAAGGUCUUCUCUGAGAAGCUUUUCUGUUUAUAACAAUGCAUCCGGUAAACUCUUGCUGACGUGGUUUUCCCCAAAUAAAACAUUAGACUCAGUCUGGAAAUAUUUUCCUCAGCAAAAAUGACACAGUCAGACUUUUCUUUCUUUUUUCUUUUUUUUUUUUUAACAGUAAGCAUUCUUUAAUUAGUAUGCAGACAGUUUGCCACUAUUAGGUUGGUGUAGUUAAUAGUUUGUAUGUCUAGUCACACUGAUUAAGCAGAUGUUUCUUUUGUUUUUAUUGAUCACCUAUUCAUUGUCAUGUUCAAAGGUAGUCUGCCCUUUAAUGCAAAGGCUGAAUGACUACUUCUUCUUCUGCAUUGAGUUAAUUAUACUUGACUGAGGACACAGCAUGUGAUCGAAAGCUGUAACAUCAUUAACCCAAACAAUCAUUCAUUUGCUUUGCAUUGAAUGGAGAGAGCAGGCCCUCAUAAUGUUAAUCCAGGUUUUUCAGGUUUUCUUACUUUGUCAUGCUAAUGUUCAGCAGACCUUUUACAUAACCUUAGAAUGUUUAUUUUCUUACUAAUGUUUGUUUAUUUAUUUGAAAUGAAAAACAAAUGUUAAAACAUUCUAGAGAUAUAUGUGUAAAAGUACAGAAAAGUUAACUAUUAUACAGACCACUGAAAUUAUUAAAAUUGGUCAAUUAUUAAUCUGACUAACUGUCAAGGCUGAUUUAAAAGAAACAUAGCACAGACCCUGUUUCUUUCUUUGGGCUUUUUUUUUCUUUAUCCAGCAUGUGCCAAGAUUACAGUACAUGCAUUUCACCAGCCUUGCCAUAAAACCAUCUUUCUUCUUUCUGGGAAAAUCUAAUAUGACCUAUAUUUCCUCACUAUGUCCUGCCACUUGUUUUGUUGCAAUCAUCAUGAUGUAGAUUUUUCCAGAAAUGUCGGUGUGUUAUUUUAGGUGUCCAGCGUGAGAUUCAUGUGCCUUUGGAUAAAAAGAGCAAUUACCCUCAUAUUCCUGGCUGUUGUUCCUCAGCUUAGUGGAAAGCCAGGACCCUAAGGUCAUGAGAUUUCCUCCCCAUAUGAGGUGGCUGGCCAUGACCCUGGCUGUCUGUUCCAAGCCCUCAGGUCCUUAAUGUAAACGAGAGCAUUCACUCGACGACUCGGCUCUCAGGUGACAUUUUCACUCAUUCCUGUAAGUCAGCAUACACACAGUGUGACCUUACAGAUGAACAGAGGCUGUGAAAGGAAACUGACUAGCUAAAGAUCAGACGUGACCGUAUUGCUGCAUUGUGUGUAAAUAAGCUGAGCUAUAUAAGUAAGGGCUUAUUUGCUUUAUGACACUGUAUGGUAAGAAGUUGGAGUAGUUUUUUCCUUAGGCAUUUGUAUUUGACAUCUGAAAAUGAUUUUAUUAAACAUAUCGAGUGAC